rnacentral:rRNA from 1 species
UGGAAAUAACGCUUCUCGUGCGAUCACCGAAGUUAAGCAAUGUUGUACUUGAUCAAUACUUAGAUGGGUGACCGCUUGAGAAUACUAUGGGUUGUUGCC